rnacentral:rRNA from 1 species
UACGGAGUGUGCAACCGUUAUUCGGAAUCACUGGGCUUAAAGAGUCCGUAGGCGGCAUGUUAGGUGAGGUGUGAAAUCCCCCGGCUCAACCGAGGAAUUGCGCUUCAUACCGGCGUGCUAGAGGAAGAUAGAGGUGGGCGGAACUGAUGGUGGAGCGGUGAAAUGCGUUGAUAUCAUCAGGAACACCGGAGGCGAAGGCGGCCCACUGGGUCUUUUCUGACGCUGAGGGACGAAAGCUAGGGGAGCGAACGGG